ensembl:lncRNA
GUAAACUUAAUAAACAUUUAUAGAACUCUCCACUUUAAACACACAAGAUAUGCACUCUUAUCAGUACCACAUCACACCUACUCACAGGUUUAAAUGAAAUAUUGGUUGGCCAUUAUCAAGCACAGUUGAUGGUAUAAGGGAGGUUUUCAAUACCCAUUUUAAAAAAAAAAAAACAAGAAAGAGAGGCACAGGUAGAACACAAAGAGACACAUGGAGGAAAAGACACAGAAGAGGAAGCAAUGUGACAAUGAAUCACUCCAGCAAUUAGAGCGAUGGGGCUGUAGGUCAAGGCAAGCCAGCUGCCACCAGGACCUGGAAGUCACAAGGAACAUAUUAUGCCCUGGAGCCUUCAGAAGCUGUGCGGCCCUGACAAAGACAUUUUGAUUUCAGACUUCUGGUCUCCAAACUGCCUCCAUGUCAGAAAUGAAGAAGGAAUCUGCAUGUUCAGACAAGAUAGACAUAUUGUCCCGCAGACACCUCCUUCAGCCUCCCAACUUAAGGUAAACUUCUGUACCUUCAUUCUUUUUCUUUUCAGUACCAAGAAAUACUGGAUAUCCUUCAUCUCCAGCAGACUCUAUUUCCAUCUGGCUCUGAUGUCCCUUUUUAUGACUAAUCUCCUGAAAGUUUUUCUAAUUCAUCUGUGAACUCAAGGUCAAUCAUCAGUGAAAGCCUAGUCAUUAAAGAAAGUUCAAUGUCAACCACUUCUGUAGACAUUAUUUUUGUAUUUUGCUCUAACAGGAAUCUGACUCUCCUGUGGAGUUCCUUGAAAUCAAGUCAAGCAGAAAUUAAGUUGAUUCUUCUAUCCCUUGUACCUCUCAGCUUGGAGGAGUUCUUUUUAUUCCAUGUUGUCAUUCACAAACAAUGGAUUAAAAGAGAGACAACAUGGUUUCACUGGCAAACACAGCCCCAUGUAGGAGUAGAAUAAAGCACACAGGCGGUGACAGACUGAAACUCUCUGAAGGAGCCACUCACUUCAGCUGGCUGUGAAGACUCCAUGUGGGACACCACAGGGACUUCUCCAUUCUUAGUAACUGCUCCAUACAGUACUAUAAUCCUUGGGCUUUGUUGCCUCCACGUUCUAUGCUUUAUUAAUGAGAUCCAAUAUGAGUCCACUUUUGUCCAUUAUAGUUACUUAUGAAAAGAAAGGAGAUCCUGUGAGGUUUUGUUCCAUCUGUUCAGUACCUCCAAUGCCAACAGUAUACUCUCCUUUCUCAGAAACACAGAAAACCAGACAUACUGGGGUGGGCAUGCCUCACAUUUCUCCUUAGCUUUUGCAUGACCGCCAAUCAUAUUCAACCCAUGCUCAAUUCAUCAUUUGCUUAUGGUGUCUGCAAACCUAAAAAAUCUAUUAUUUAUGUAUUCUCUCACCACGUAACACUAAUAUUCUGAAAUUAAUUGUGUUUUCCACUACUUUUGCAUACCAUCCAAAAUCCUGCCCACUAAGCAAGGAUUGACUUUUUAAAUGCAUACUUAUUUUUUACACAUUAGCACUUUGGAGAAAGAAAGAAAUCCCUUCGCCUUUUUAAAAUGGAGUACUCAGCAGCUGUGGGCUCAUAGCUGACAUCUAACCAAGAAGCAUAACAUCUCGUGCUAGUGUCAGCCCAAACACCAAUAAGCCGGGUUCGUUUGGGUCAGCGCCUUACUUUCUCUCACUCUCAGUUUUUUUCCCUUGAAUGGGCUGAACAAAAUAAAUGAUUACUUAGCAACUAAACUUCAUAUUAAACAGGCAAUUAUUGAAUGCAGAGUUUGUGCCAAGGACUGUGCUAAGCAGUGUCAACAUUCUGUGGUGACUUACAGAUUCAUUUCUUAGCAAAUGUCUCUGGGGGUUUUUGGGUUAAUACUCACUCAUUAUAUUCUGAAAGAAAGAACAAUUAUGAUUGAACUUUUAGAAACAUUCACCUUCCAAUAUCUAAAUU